CUGCAGAUGCUGGAAAUUCAAGCAACACACAUCAAAGUUGCUGGUGAACGCAGCAGGCCAAGCAGCAUCUGUAGGAAGAGGUGCAGUUGACGUUUCAGGCCGAGACUCUUCGUCAGGACUAACUGAAGGAAGAGGAGAGCACAGUGGUACAACUACAAGAGCCAUUGCCUUACAACUCGAACAACCUGGCUUCAGUCUGGACCUCCGGUGCUGCCUGGGUGGAGUUUGCAAGUUCUUUUUCUGGUCUGAGGAAUUUCCUUUCGGUAUGUGGGUUGCUGACCUCAUGGCCAAUAUAAAUUGCAUUAAUGUGCUCAAGGCAACAAAGCAAUGCAAGUUAUCGUCCUCCUGGGGAUGCUAAGAGGGAGUCAACAGCUGACACUGAAAACACCUAUCUGCAAGACGUUCCGAAUAUCUUUCCAGCACAUAAGUGCCAUUACAAAGACAGCAUAGCAGCACCUCUACUUAGAAGUUUGUAAAGAUCCGGCAUGUCAUUUAAAACUUUGACAAACUUCUACGGAUGCACAGUGGAGAGUACCCUGACUGGCUAGAUCAGGGCCUGGUGUGGAAAUACCAAUGACCUUGAAUGGAAAAGCCUACAAAACAUAGUGGAUACAGCCCAGUCCGUCACAGGUAAAGCUCUCCCCCAUUGAGCACAUCUGCAAGGAGGGCUGUCACAGGAAAGGAGCAUCCAUCAUCAAGGACCCCCUCCAUCUAGGCCAUACAGUCUUCUCACUGUUGCCAUCAGGAAAGGGUACACGAGCCUUCGGACCCAUACCACCAGGUUCAGGAACGGUUAUUAUCCCUUAACCAUCAGGCUCCCGGUGCAGAAUGGAUAACUUCAUUCACCCCAACACUGAACUGAUUCCAUAUUAAGGACCUCACUUUCAGGGACUCCACAACUCAUGUUCUCAAUAUUUAGUAGGUGUCUAUUAUUAUUUUGUUUCUUUCUUUUUUUGUAUUUGCACAACUUUUGCACAUGGGUUGUCUGCCUUUGUGUGCAGUUUCUCAUUGUUUCUAUUGUGUUUCUUUGUAUGUGGUAUGGAUGCCUGCAAGAAAAUGAAUCUUGGGGUGGUAUAUGGUGAUACGUGUGUACUUCGAUAAUAAAUUUACUUUGAACUUUGAGCAUUGUGGGCGUGCAGUGUUGGCACCGGAAUGCAUGGCGACACUUGCGGACUGCUCCCAGUCCAUCCUUGGGUGUGUUGGUCGCUAACGUAAAUAACACAUUUCACUGUAUGUUUCCAUGUUCAUGUGACAAAUAAAUCUGAGUCCAGACCUGAAGAUGAGUGCUGCCAAUGGUUUAAUGAAGCACUGUUCACCUAAUCCCUUGUGCUGCUCUAAACUACUUAACCCCACUGUAAACUCAUCCCCCCUCAACAUCCUCGAGCAUCCCUCUGUCAGUGCGUUUACUUGCAUCUUCAGCUGCUGGACACCCAUCGAAUUCAGCCUCAUCCUCAGGCAACGUAAUUCGUCAGCAAA